rnacentral:rRNA from 1 species
GAGUUUGAUCGUGGCUCAGAACGAACGCUGGCGGCAGGCCUAACACAUGCAAAUCGAACGCUCGUAGCAAUACGGGAGUGGCGCACGGGUGAGUAACGCGUGGGCACCUGCCCGGUGGUUUGGAAUAACCGCGGGAAACUGCGGCUAAUACCGAAUACGCCCCUAGGGGGAAAGACUUAUCGCCAUCGGAUGGGCCCGCGUAGGAUUAGCUAGUUGGUGAGGUAACGGCUCACCAAGGCGACGAUCCUUAGCUGGUCUGAGAGGAUGAUCAGCCACACUGGGACUGAGACACGGCCCAGACUCCUACGGGAGGCAGCAGUGGGGAAUAUUGGACAAUGGGGGCAACCCUGAUCCAGCCAUGCCGCGUGAGUGAUGAAGGCCUU